GAGGGUGAGGGUUAUCAGGAUUGAUGUCCAUAACUGCUCAUCGGCAGGGGUGACUUAAGGGCCUUGCCCAGCUGUGGGGGGCUAGAGGGGCUGCACCUUCCUCCCUCAUUGCUCCACCUUUGGUCUUCCUCACACUCCAUGUGCUUAGGCGAAGACAUUGACCUUUGGAGCUAUGCCUGGACUCUUCCUUGGUCAAGGGUAUCUGAACAGCUGAGUUAUUUUAGGAGAAACUCUAAAUAUGUUAUUGCAACUUGAAACAUCUCAAAUAUCUGUAUAGCUGGGAAGAGACUACAAUCCGAGCAUACUGCCAUGGAAAAGGCAGUGAUG
rnacentral:snRNA from 1 species